rnacentral:sRNA from 1 species
GCUGGGCAUGGUAACAAGUGCCUGUAAUCCCAGCCACUCUGGGGGCUGAGGCAGGAGGAUCACAAGUUGGAGGCCUCCCCAAUUUCAUGAGGUCCUAAGCAAUUUAAUGAGACCCUGUUUCAU